UGUAAUACCCGGCUAGAUUCCGGUAUCGGAAUUCCUACCGUCCGGUGGAAUUUCGGUUGUCGGGAACUUCUAGAAGGGUAAAGACAUGUUUUAUGAAAUGUUUUUAUGUUUUUAAUGGUUUUAAAGUAUGAAACUAAAUGAGUUUUUGCAUGAAAAUAGCAUUGGAGGAAAACCCAGGUUCGGCCGCCGAAAGUCAAGUUCGGCCGCCGAACAUGCAUGCGUUUUGGAGGCACGUUAGGCCCCCGAAAGCAUGAGUUAGGGAAGUUCAGGUUCGGCCGCCGAAAGUCAAGUUCGGCCGCCGAACAUUUGCAUGGAUGCGGAGGCACAUUCGGCCCCCGAACAUGGCCUGGCCAGCCACCUAUAAAAGGGUCCCUUAGCCGAAAAUGGGCGAGCUUUUUCUCCCCAUUUCGGCCAAGGUGAGCAUUCCGCCAUCCUUCCCCAAUCUUGAGUUUUUCCUUCCUUUUUCCAUGAUCUUUACAAGUUUAUAACUUUGGUUUUGAAGAUCUUUGAGCUUAGAACAAGUUUUGGAGCUUGGAGACCAAAAGUUGGAACUUCUCCCAUCUCCAAGUUUAGAUCUCCUCAACCCUCGAUCUUCAAGAGGUAAGAGCCGAUCUUAAGCUCUUCAUGUGUUUUAAGUAAGUUUUAAGUGAUUUUAUGGGGUAGAAUGACAUGUAUAGGGUUGUAUGAGUUUUUAAGCAAAUGUUAAGUUUUAAGUGAUUUAUGAUCAAUGUAUGAUGUUUGAGUAUGCUUGAAGUGUUGUAGUUGGGGUAUUUGAUGUUUUGAGGCCCCUAGGAACUUGUAUGCAUGAUUUGGGUGAAGUAUAUGCAUGAUGUGAGAGUUGGGAGGCAUUUGUGCAUAGGGGAGCCAAAGUUUCUGCCCUUUGGCAGAAACCAGGUUCGGCAGCCGAAGGCACUUUCGGCCGCCGAACAUAGCUUGAGAGGCAGCUUUAGGCUGCCGAAGCUUGCCCCCGAAAAUUGGAGUUUCGGCUCUGUCCGAGACUUUCGGCCGCCGAAGGUGCCGCCGAACAUGCAUGAGUUUCGUCUCUGUCUGGGAGUUUCGGCCGCCGAAGGUGCCGCCGAACCUGCCUGACUUUCGUCUCUGGAGGGACUUUCGGCCGCCGAAGGUGCCGCCGAAAGUGCCCUGUCCAGCCUUUUCUUGCAUGAUUCCUAGGAGUGUUUUGGUGAUGUUUUAGGAGGUUUUUGGGGGUAUGUCUAGAGUUAUGUUCUCGUAUGUUUGGUGCCUCAUUUGCGUCCACCUGUGUAGGUUCGGACCCGAGGAACCGAGACCCCCGGUUGUGAGAUAGUCGUUCCGAGUUCGUUGUUACAACUUCAGUCACCAGGUGAGUGGAACAACUGCUUAAAUUUUAAAGUAAAUGAAUAAAUGAAUAAAUGAAUGAAUCAUAAAGCAUUGCCCAUGCAUCAUUAUGUUAUGCAAUAUUUCAGGAUGUUUGCAUUAGAUCUCACGAAUAUGCUGCAUUGCAUAAAUUGAUGUUGAUGUGGAUGAAUGUUGAGUGAUCCAUUAGCCCUCGUAUGUUAUGUCAUGAUAUGAUGAUGAUACGGUAUGGAAGUCCAGGAAGACCCAUUCUACGUCCCUGGCACUAUGUAAGAGAAAGACCAGGACCCAUUCUACGUUCUGGCACUAAUGGAAAUGUAGAGGGCUAUUGGUGACAAAUUCAUCCUUUAUGUGAUUAACUGUGAUGUGUUGCAUUCCAUGAAAGCAUGAAUAAGAAAAAGUUAUAUAAUAAUAUACCUAAAAAUGGAGGAAUCUUAAUAAUAAAAUGAAUAAUAACAUACCUAAAAAGGGUGGAAUUAAAGCAAAUAUUUUUAGUUUCCGCUCAUUGGGCUUUAUAGCUCACCCCCUCUCCCCUAACCCCAGUCUUGCAGGUGCAGAGUAGAUAGAGAAGUCAGCAGAGUAAGAGAAGAUUAUGUAAUAGCUUAGCUGUGGACAUGGUUUGUAGCAAUGUAAUGUAAG
rnacentral:lncRNA from 1 species